UCUCACAAAGUGGUUGUGAAAUGCUCUAUUUGAAACUGCAUAUCACAGCCAGCUUUGAUGAGCU
rnacentral:pre_miRNA from 1 species